GACGAACGCUGGCGGCGUGCCUAAUACAUGCAAGUCGAGCGAAGAUAUUCUGGUGCUUGCACUGGAACGAUUGAGCGGGGAGGGGGAGAGACACAUGUAAAGCACAUGUCUUAUAGACUGGGACAUCUAGUGGAAAGGAUCGAUAAUACCGGAUAAUAGCAUAACGUGCGUGGCUGUAGUUAAAAAGUGGUUUGCGCUAACAUUAUGAUGUGGCUUUGCGGCGCAUUAGAUAGUUGGUGGGGUAAAGGCCUACCAAGGCAACGAUGCAUAGCCGACCUGAGAGGGUGAUCGGCCACACUGGAACUGAGACACGGUCCAGACUCCUACGGGAGGCAGCAGUAGGGAAUCUUCCGCAAUGGGCGAAAGCCUGACGGAGCAACGCCGCGUGAGUGAAGAAGGAUUUCGGUUCGUAAAGCUCUGUUGUUAGGGAAGAACGAUUGUGUAGUAACUAAUCACCGUAGUGACGGUACCUAAUCAGAAAGCCACGGCUAACUACGUG
rnacentral:rRNA from 1 species